GACGAACGCUGGCGGCGUGCUUAACACAUGCCAGUCGAACGGAAAGGCCCUGCUUUUGUGGGGUGCUCGAGUGGCGAACGGGUGAGUAACACGUGAGUAACCUGCCCUUGACUUUGGGAUAACUUCAGGAAACUGGGGCUAAUACCGGAUAGGAGCUCCUGCUGCAUGGUGGGGGUUGGAAAGUUUCGGCGGUUGGGGAUGGACUCGCGGCUUAUCAGCUUGUUGGUGGGGUAGUGGCUUACCAAGGCUUUGACGGGUAGCCGGCCUGAGAGGGUGACCGGCCUCAUUGGGACUGAGAUACGGCCCAGACUCCUACGGGAGGCAGCAGUGGGGAAUAUUGCACAAUAGGCGGGAGCCUGAUGCAGCAACGCCGCGUGCGGGAUGACGGCCUUCGGGUUGUAAACCGCUUUCGCCUGUGACGAAGCGUGAGUGACGGUAAUGGGUAAAGAAGCACCGGCUAACUACGUG
rnacentral:rRNA from 1 species